CGGACGGGUGAGUAACACGUGGAUAACCUACCUAUAAGACUGGGAUAACUUCGGGAAACCGGAGCUAAUACCGGAUAAUAUAUUGAACCGCAUGGUUCAAUAGUGAAAGACGGUUUUGCUGUCACUUAUAGAUGGAUCCGCGCCGCAUUAGCUAGUUGGUAAGGUAACGGCUUACCAAGGCAACGAUGCGUAGCCGACCUGAGAGGGUGAUCGGCCACACUGAACUGAGACACGGUCCAGACUCCUACGGGAGGCAGCAGGU
rnacentral:rRNA from 1 species